AUUCAAUAAUAAAAUCGAAUAUUUUUACGGACAAUCCAUACCACAAUAUCGUAAAGAUAUAUAAAGAAGAGACUUUACCAGACGACAAAAAUACUCUUCAAAAUAAAUCUGAUGAUUUUUUUGAUUAUCAAAAGAAAUACUACAAAUAUCUAAAGGAUUAUAUAGAUACAAUAAGGAAUGCCGCACCACAAUUGGCCAUAAAAGAAUGGUGUAAAAUACAACAUGAUCCCACCGACGAGUUUCUAAAUCAAUAUUAAGGCGUAGAAAAAUAAUAAUCUUUAAUUUAAAUAAUUGCCUUUCAUUGUAUUUUAAAUUAUAUAACAUUAAGAAGAGACUAGUGAAUUCAAUCCUAGUGUGUAUUAAGUAUGCUUCAAGUGUACUAAAUGAUUACCGAUAAAUUAUAUAUUUAGUAUGAGUAUUCAAUUCAAAUAUAUAACAUUUAGAAUAGUAAUUAAACAACAUUUAUUAACAUUAGUUUAUUA